rnacentral:lncRNA from 1 species
UCAUCUUGUUAUGUGACUUGUUUAUGCUGCUUCCGUUAUUUAACUAAGUGCAUAAGUAUAUGAUGAAGUUUAGCUCCAAAUUAUUGGAUGCAUGUUGAUAUGUUGAUUACGAUGUUUUGUUCAUAAGUGUCCAUGCAUAGCAUCUCAUUGAGCUUAGUCCUCACCACGAUUAUUAGGAGCUUUGUCCUCCGCACGUUUUAUAGGAGCUUUGUCCUCCGCACGAUUAAAGUAUAUUAAUACUUAUGAUGACGAUUGGUACCACAUGCAUAUAAGGAGUCUAAGAGCAUUGUCACAUUGUCAUGAUUAAGAUGCCUUGUUGAUAAUGAUUGAAUAUGUGAUUACGUGAUAAGUGUUUA